UCCCCACCACCCCUCCACUGAGCUAGCCGCCGCUCUUCCACACCCACCCCUCCGGCUCCCCGCCUCGCACCCAUGGCGACGGCUCUGAUGGCUGCGGCCACCACCUCCUGCUCCCCGCGCCGCGCGGCGCCGCUCCUGAAGCCGAUGGCCUCCUCCUCGUCCUCGCCCAGCUCGGCGCGGGCGCGGCGGCCCCUGGCGCAGCAGCUCCCGCGGCUGCUGGCGACGGCGGCGGCGGCGGUGGCGGCCGCACCGCUCCCGGCGCUGGCGGAGCAGAUGGAGAAGGCGGCGCUCUUCGACUUCAACCUGACGCUCCCGGCGAUCGCGACCGAGUUCCUGCUGCUCAUGGUGGCGCUGGACAAGCUCUACUUCACGCCGCUCGGCAAGUUCAUGGACGAGCGGGACGCCAAGAUCCGCGGCGAGCUUGGCGACGUCAAGGACGCCUCCGAGGAGGUCAAGCAGCUGGAGGAGCAGG
rnacentral:lncRNA from 1 species